UUAUGGAUAUUGUCAUUUUCCAUUUUUAAAAUUUUUUUUUUCUAUAAAUAUCAAUAACAUUUUAUUUGUUGGGUAAAAAAGCGUGAAAAUUUAAUGCAAGGCUCCUGAUAUAUUGCUACAAUAGCAGUUGUAAAUACAUAGACACAAUUUUUUUUUAUAAACAUUUAAAGUUCAAAAUUUAUAAAAUGUUCAAAUUUUAUAGCUAAGGAUUGAAAAUGUAUAACAAGGUUUCACGUAAAUAGGUUAUAUAUAAAUUAUAUCAUCAAAUAUACUUGGUAAUAUCAUAGGCUGACUGACCACCGUUUUCGCUCAGAAUCGUUUUUCUUGUACAAUGAUAUUAUAUCAUUGAAUUCAAAUUUAACACCAUCCAUUACAGUGACCCACUUGUAACCUACUGUACAGCAGAGUGACAUCCACUUACCCACCUUUGUUUAUUUUUAAGUUUAUAUAAUAGUAAUUAAAAAAAUUAGGGAUGACAAACUUAUAUCCUAAACUCAAACUAAAACAAGGUUCCAUGUAAAUACAUUAUAGAUAAAUAUUACUUUAUUCACCACAAUAUCAUCAAAUAUACUUGGUAAUAUCAUGGGUUGAGUGACCAUCUUUGCUCAGAAUCGCUUUUCUUAUUAUAUCAUUAAAUUUAAAUUUAACAUAAUCCAUUACAGUGACCCACUUGUAACCUACUGUACAGCAGAGCAUCACACACUUGCCCACCUUUUUUUUCCUUCUUAUUUUAUGUAAUGUAAUGAUAUGCGCACACACUAUUAUAAUAAACUAAAAUUUUACAGAAUAAUAAACAACGGACAGACUGUUGUUUGUAGAAAUUGGUCACAUCAAAUAAAACCAUUAACAAUGACACUUAAGAUAUUGACACGCACUUAUAACGGUAUUACGUAGGAUGUGUGUGACUUUGUUUUAUGCUGACGCCAAAGAAUAAUCUAGUUCCCAGGCUCACUAUAACUUUUUGAUAAAGCUGCCUACCACUCUCUGGUCAGCAUCCUCGUGUUGUCCCUUAAAUCAGUGCAUGAGCACCAACCACCAGAGUAACAACCUCUCAAGUCUCAAAAAACCGAUUUCAAUGAGCGACAACUGGACUUCUUAUGCGAGCAAUAGUCAGUGCGUUCUUUAAUUCAAUUUGUGUAUUUGAAGUAUUACUUUGUUUCAUCUAAAACCUAAAACUCUUACAAUAUUAUCUACAAACAACUGCGAAUCAGGUAAGGCAUAUAAUUAAAAUAUUUUAUGUUGAUUGCAGUUAAUACAUUCUAUGUGCUUUUUCCAUAAAAUUAUAUUGUACGGUGUAUUCAAUCUAAUUCUCCAAUACACGAUCUCGAGAGCCCUCCGAAUAUCUGGAGGAAGGUAAUAGCGUAAUUUGACCACACUAAUUUUACGAUUUUAAUAUAACUAUCGACAGGAAUCUUAUUUCUACGUUAUUACAGUAACAAAUCACAACUCCAGUUGCGCUUUAGGCGUCUUGGUGGUUAUCAGGUAUAGUCCAAAUUUUUAAUAAGGGAAUUCAAUUGAGUACUUAGGUGGUUGUGGAAUCUUUUAUAGAAACAUUUAAAUUCAUCACUUAUUGUUUUUAGUUUAAGAUCUGAAUGUAAGAAAAAAUUGAGACGUAGGGAGGUGCAUUAGUUAACUUCCUUAGAACAAUGUUUUGAAAUGCUUGAAUUUUGUUAGUGUUUGAUUUUUUUGCAUUAAUGCACCUAAAUGUUCAAUUAAUAGGCCCCCAUAUCAAAUGUUGAGACCUUAUACUAAAUGUUUUUGCGGGCCCUAUUUAAUAUUAUUUAAUAUAAAAUAAGUAUUCCUAUCAACAUUUUAAAAAUCAUUUCAACAGGCCCCUUAACUCUAGGUCCUUAUAGGGGCCCUGGUUUACAGUGUCGUAAUUGGCUGGAAUGUUAAUUUGAAAUGUAGUGUAAUAUUUGAGUAUUCCCAUAUUCAUUUUUAAAUUUGUUUUCAAGUAUUUUAUCUAUCUAUAUAUAUAUAAAAGAGAGUUCAAAAAAAUGUUAGACCAUUUAUAACUCAAGAACAUGCUACAUUAUCCCUGAGUGCUGUACGCUUAUUUAAAAAGGGGAAAUUAGAACCUGGAGAGGUGCUCUAACAGGGAUUUUGAGAUUUACGAUGGAAAUUUUUGUUUAUAAAUGGUUGCUAUUAUAAUAAUAAUUAAUGGUUGCCAUUGGUUAAUCGUUAAUUAAAUUAAUAUUAUUAUAAUAUAUAAAUAUAUAUUCAAGAUGAUCACUGAAAAUGUUUUUUUUUUUUAUCGAAGCACCUUUUGUAUUUACGCGCAUAUCUCAAAAAGUACUCAACGGAUUUUCAUACGGUUUUCACUAAUAUAUCGGUCAGUGGCGUAAUUAUGGGGGGGGGGGAUAUGGGGAUAUAUCCCCCCUAGACCCUUUUUUUUUUUUAGAAUACCCAUAAUUAAAUUCCCUUAAGCACUAAGUUUUAAAAGAUUUUAAGAUAAGAAAUAAGAAUUCAUGGAUAUUAAUUAAUUUAAGACUGGAAAGAUUCAUCAGGAACUGCUUCUAUAGCCAAUAUGCUUAUAAAAUCAAUUGAUUCAGAGUUAAUUGUAUCAGUUUAUGUUGUUAAGGUGAAUAUUAUUAUUUUUUAUAAAUUUAAAAUAAUUUAUUUCCUAUUGUAAUGUAAAUUGUAUAUUUUGUAAUAAGUAAUUAGUUGUAAUUUAAUUUGUAAAUUGUAUGUAUUUAGCUACUGUUUUCAUAUGAUUUGUCUCUAUGCAAGCAGUUGCAAAGAGAGCGAAUUGAUUUAAAAGAAGCAGUCAAUCUCACAGAAGAUAUAGUGACAGAGUUAAAGCUAACUAGAAGUAAUAGUGAUUGUGAAUUUAAAAAAAUAUUUAGUCAAGCAAAGGACAAGUCUGCUAAACUAGACAUUGAAUUAACAUUUAACACUCAAAAGAAUCAUUAAAAAACAAAAAAACCGUGCCAACAGAUGGAGAGUUAAAUGUAGAAACUAUAGGAUAACAGUUUUUCUACCUUAUCUUGAUUAUUUUAUAACUGAAUUACAAGAAAGGUUUUUGUCUCAUUCAGAUAUUUUCAAAGGGUUCGAAUGCUUAUUUUCAACAAAUUCAAAUUUAACUGAAGAUGAAGAAUUAUAAUUCAAACAAUUGGUAGAAUUUUAUAGUCCUGAUGUAGAAAGUUUUGACAAAUCAUUUUUUGAAUUAAAAUUAUGGAAGCGUAAAUUAAAUAAAUGUGAAAAGCUUCCAAAAUCUGGUCUCCAAGCACUUAUUAUGUGUGAUGAACAAAUUUAUCCCAACAUAUUUUUGUUCUUAAAAAUAUUAUGUACAUUGCCAGUCUCAACCACUUCACCAGAGCGUAUGUUUUCUACUUUAAAAAGAGUAAAAACUUAUCUCAGAAACACAAUGGGUCAGGAACGCUUGAAUGGACUUACAAUGUUAUCAGUGUAUCGGGACAUUAAGUUGAACCCCGAUGACAUACUGGAUAUUUUGGCGAAAAAAACCAAAAGAAAACUUGAAAUAAUAUUAUAAUUUAUGAAAAAUAUAUUUAGCUUAAUUUUAUUGUUUACUUUAUUGUCUUUGAAAACCAUUAUUAUACCAUUUACCUCCUUUAAUUAAUUUAUAUAAUAUUGUGAUCUAUAAGAUUUAAUGGUAAAUGGGGGGGGGGGAAUAGCCCCACUGAAACGAUAGUAUAAACUUAUAUCCUAAUCCCACCCCAGAACCAAUUCUAAAUUACGCCACUGAUAUCGGUCGAGUCUUAGGGAAGAAUUUAAUGUAAAAUUUGUCUUGGAAAACUAAUUGGUUGGCCGAAAAAUAAAUUAAUGUUUGUCUGUAUGCCUUUUAUGCAUUUCUAAACAAUUUUUUGUGUGUUAAAACUUUCGGGAUUAUUUAGAUUCACAAUAGGAUCAGGUAGGUCCAACCCUGGGAAGGUGUUCAAACAGGGAUUUUGAUGUUUACGAUGGAAAUUUUUAUUUAUAAAUAGUUGCUUUUGGUUAUAGGAGAAAUACUUAGUAGAAAUUAGUAUUUUAUUUGUUUAUUGAUUGCCAUUUAUUAAUCGAGUAGAGCAUGCAU